GAUGAACGCUAGCGGCAGGCCUAAUACAUGCAAGUCGAGGGGCAGCACGGUAGCAAUACUGGUGGCGACCGGCGCACGGGUGCGUAACACGUAUGCAACCUGCCUUCAACUGGGAGAUAGCCCGGGGAAACUCGGAUUAAUACCGCAUAACACAGGGGCUCCUCAUGGAGAUAUUUGUUAAAGAUUCAUCGGUGGUAGAU
rnacentral:rRNA from 1 species